rnacentral:rRNA from 1 species
GCAGUAGCCGCGGUAAUACGGAGGGCGCGAGCGUUACCCGGAUUUACUGGGCGUAAAGGGCGUGUAGGCGGCCUGGGGCGUCCCAUGUGAAAGGCCACGGCUCAACCGUGGAGGAGCGUGGGAUACGCUCAGGCUAGAGGGUGGGAGAGGGUGGUGGAAUUCCCGGAGUAGCGGUGAAAUGCGCAGAUACCGGGAGGAACGCCGAUGGCGAAGGCAGCCACCUGGUCCACUUCUGACGCUGAGGCGCGAAAGCGUGGGGAGCAAACCGGAUUAGAUACCCCUGUAGUCCCUGUCUCUUAUAC